rnacentral:rRNA from 1 species
AUUGAACGCUGGCGGCAGGCUUAACACAUGCAAGUCGAGCGGUAGCACAGGGGAGCUUGCUCCCUGGGUGACGAGCGGCGGACGGGUGAGUAAUGUCUGGGAAACUGCCUGAUGGAGGGGGAUAACUACUGGAAACGGUAGCUAAUACCGCAUAACGUCGCAAGACCAAAGAGGGGGACCUUCGGGCCUCUUGCCAUCAGAUGUGCCCAGAUGGGAUUAGCUAGUAGGUGGGGUAAUGGCUCACCUAGGCGACGAUCCCUAGCUGGUCUGAGAGGAUGACCAGCCACACUGGAACUGAGACACGGUCCAGACUCCUACGGGAGGCAGCAGUGGGGAAUAUUGCACAAUGGGCGCAAGCCUGAUGCAGCCACGCCGCGUGUGUGAAGAAGGCCUUCGGGUUGUAAAGCACUUUCAGCGAGGAGGAAGGUGGUGAGCUUAAUACGUUCAUCAAUUGACGUUACUCGCAGAAGAAGCACCGGCUAACUCCGUG